GUAGGGUGCAAGCGUUAAUCGGAAUUACUGGGCGUAAAGCGUGCGCAGGCGGUUUUGUAAGUCUGAUGUGAAAUCCCCGGGCUCAACCUGGGAAUUGCAUUGGAGACUGCAAGGCUAGAAUCUGGCAGAGGGGGGUAGAAUUCCACGUGUAGCAGUGAAAUGCGUAGAUAUGUGGAGGAACACCGAUGGCGAAGGCAGCCCCCUGGGUCAAGAUUGACGCUCAUGCACGAAAGCGUGGGGAGCAAACAGGAUUAGAUACCCUGGCAGUCCCACGCCCUAAACGAUGUCUACUAGUUGUCGGGUCUUAAUUGACUUGGUAACGCAGCUAACACGUGAAGUAGACCGCCUGGGGAGUACGGUCGCAAGAUUA
rnacentral:rRNA from 1 species